rnacentral:rRNA from 1 species
UACGUAGGUGGCAAGCGUUGUCCGGAUUUAUUGGGUUUAAAGGGUGCGUAGGCGGCUUUGUAAGUCAGUGGUGAAAUAUGGCAGCUCAACUGUCAGGGUGCCAUUGAUACUGUGGUGCUUGAGUGUAGUCGAGGUAGGCGGAAUUGACGGUGUAGCGGUGAAAUGCUUAGAUAUCGUCAAGAACACCUAUAGCGAAGGCAGCUUACUAGGCUGUAACUGACGCUGAGGCACGAAAGUGUGGGGAUCAAACAGG